rnacentral:lncRNA from 1 species
CCGUUCCAAAAAUACCCAUAUUGCAUGGGUUUGAAGUGAUUUUCGCUAACCGGAAGUCGUCAUCUUGAAAUCCAAAAUGACAUCAGACAUCGAUUUCCGUUACCUACUCGUUGGUACCGUUCCAAAAAUACCCAUAUUGCAUGGGUUUAAAGGAAUUUUCGGAAACCGGAAGUCGACUUCUUGGAUUCAAAAACGACACCAGACAUCGAUUUCCGUCAUCUACUCGGCGGCCCGUUCCAAAAAUACCCAUAUUGCAUGGGUUU